rnacentral:piRNA from 1 species
UGAGAGGUUGGAAAAGCUGGCAGGCCU